rnacentral:rRNA from 1 species
UACGUAGGGUGCAAGCGUUGUCCGGAAUUAUUGGGCGUAAAGGGCUCGUAGGCGGUCCAUCGCGUCGGGAGUGAAAAGCUGGGGCUUAACCCCAGUCCUGCUUCCGAUACGGGUGGACUAGAGGUAGGUAGGGGAGAACGGAAUUCCUGGUGUAGCGGUGAAAUGCGCAGAUAUCAGGAGGAACACCGGUGGCAAAGGCGGUUCUCUGGGCCUUACCUGACGCUGAGGAGCGAAAGCAUGGGGAGCGAAUGGG